AUCAACUAUGGCCUGAGUAUGAUACACUUAUCCAUGGUUUAAACAGAAUAUAUUGUUUUCAACUUUGAAAAUUAAAAUAUGGAAAUCCAGAUGCAGAAAUGUGAGAAGAGUGGAAGGUCAGGUGACCUUGCCUGUCACGAAUAUGAAGGUCAAGGUUUGUGAAUUGUGAAAUGUCCAAGAGAACCUCACUGAAGCAAAGAAUGGAGAAAGAACGCAUUUGGCCCUGGGAGGGUGCAGGGGUGAAUGGUGCAGGAGCUAAAUCUUUAUCAUACCCAGAAAUCAACAGCCACUAUUUGAAAUCAUCUAAAUUCACGCUGCUAACCUUCAGUGUACACACGAAUCACCUGGGGAUCUUAUUAAAAGCUAGUUUCUGAUUCACUA
rnacentral:lncRNA from 1 species